rnacentral:rRNA from 1 species
AUGGCGACCGGCGUACGGGUGAGUAACGCGUAUCCAACCUGCCCUUUACUAUGGGACAGCCCGUCGAAAGGCGGAUUAAUACCGUAUGUUGUCAUGUUGAUGCAUAUUUUCAUGACCAAAGGCUUCGGCCGGUAAAGGAUGGGGAUGCGUCUGAUUAGCUUGCCGGCGGGGUAACGGCCCACCGGGGCGACGAUCAGUAGGGGUUCUGAGAGGAGGGUCCCCCACAUUGGAACUGAGACACGGUCCAAACUCCUACGGGAGGCAGCAG